UACGAAGGGUGCAAGCGUUACUCGGAAUUACUGGGCGUAAAGCGUGCGUAUGUGGUUCGUUAAGUCUGAGGUGAAAGCCCUGGGCUCAACCUGGGAAUGGCAUUGGAUACUGGCGACCUAGAGUGCGGUAGAGGGUAGCGGAAUUCCCGGUGUAGCAGUGAAAUGCGUAGAUAUCGGGAGGAACAUCCGUGGCGAAGGCGGCUACCUGGACCAGCACUGACACUGAGGCACGAAAGCUAGGGGAGCAAACGGG
rnacentral:rRNA from 1 species